CACUCCUGCGGGAGGCAGCAGUGGGGAAUAUUGCACCAUGGGCGCAAGCCUGAUGCAGCCAUGCCGCGUGUAUGAAGAAGGCCUUCGGGUUGUAAAGUACUUUCAGCGGGGAGGAAGGCGAUAAGGUUAAUAACCUUGUUGAUUGACGUUACCCGCAGAAGAAGCACCGGCUAACUCCGUGCCAGCAGCCGCGGUAAUACGGAGGGUGCAAGCGUUAAUCGGAAUUACUGGGCGUAAAGCGCACGCAGGCGGUCUGUCAAGUCGGAUGUGAAAUCCCCGGGCUCAACCUGGGAACUGCAUUCGAAACUGGCAGGCUAGAGUCUUGUAGAGGGGGGUAGAAUUCCAGGUGUAGCGGUGAAAUGCGUAGAGAUCUGGAGGAAUACCGGUGGCGAAGGCGGCCCCCUGGACAAAGACUGACGCUCAGGUGCGAAAGCGUGGGGAGCAAACAGGAUUAGAAACCCUUGUAGUCCCAUGA
rnacentral:rRNA from 1 species